GUCACGCUGUAACGAUGUCGAUUUGGAGUUUAGGGGCAUGACCCUUGGGCUCCGGAGCUAACGCGUUAAAUCGACCGCUGGGGAGUACGGCCGCAAGGUUAAAACUCAAAUGAAUUGACGGGGGCCCGCACAGCGGUGGAGCAUGUGGUUUAAUUCGAUGCAACGCGAAGAACCUUACCUGGUCUUGACAUCCAUAGAAUCUUUCAGAGAUGAGAGAGUGCCUUCGGGAGCUAUGAGACAGGUGCUGCAUGGCUGUCGUCAGCUCGUGUUGUGAAAUGUUGGGUUAAGUCCCGCAACGAGCGCAACCCCUAUCCUUUGUUGCCAGCACGUAAUGGUGGGAACUCAAAGGAGACUGCCGUUGAUAAAGCGGAGGAAGGUGGGGACGACGUCAAGUCAUCAUGGCCCUUACGACCAGGGCUACACACGUGCUACAAUGGCGUAUACAAAGGGAUGCGAAGGUGCGAACUGGAGCGGACCUCACAAAGUACGUCUAAGUCCGGAUUGGAGUCUGCAACUCGACUCCAUGAAGUCGGAAUCGCUAGUAAUCGUGAAUCAGAAUGUCACGGUGAAUACGUUCCCGGGCCUUGUACACACCGCCCGUCACACCAUGGGAGUGGGUUGCACCAGAAGUAGAUAGCUUAACCUUCGGGAGGGCGUUUACCACGGUGUGGUUCAUGACUGGGGUGAAGUCGUAACAAGGUAACCA
rnacentral:rRNA from 1 species